UAGCACAUGCUUGUUAACUAUAAAGUUUUGAGGUAUUACAAUGAAGAAAGGAAGAGAAAAAUGAUCCUGUAAUCUUACCACCCAGAGAUUUUUAACCACCGUUAAAACAUUUAGGAAAAAUUUCCUCUGGUAUUUUAUUUAAAAAAAAAAAAGAUUUAAAAAAAGUGUUUUGUUGACGCCAGAAGAAUUUCCAAUGCAUAGAACACCUGGAAGAGGCCUGCUGUUGGCAUCAGAGCCACAGUGCUCCAGCGCGUCUGAGGGCAGAGUGAGCUGGGUCAGGGAGGGUGUGGGCUGGGCCGUGGGUGGUCUGUUUAAGGACUGGGGAGGCUAAUUCAGUACUUGGCGCCUUGAGCCUAAAGGGUACAAAGAACUGUCUCACUGAGUUUUUCUUUCUUUCCAGCUCCUGAAGCCCAGAGAGAGACUGUGUUUGUGUGUGCCUCCUGUAAUCAGACCUUGAGCAAAUGAGAAGAGAAGCCAGGCUCCAGCUGCCCUGGGGCCAGCAGUAGACCCAACUGCCCCAACUUUGGUCCUCUGAGGCCUGUGCUGGACAGAUGUAGCCUGACAGCUAGGCCCUUCCUGCUCUUUCCCUGCUGCCUCCAGCUGGGCUGGUGACACUCUAAGGCCCAGGGGGAGAGGAGCCUCUGGGGUCCUGGCUGUUGGUCCUGUUCUACCCUGUACCCUCUUAACUCAAGGCCAGCCAGGGAGUGUCCACCAGAGGGCAGAAGUGAGCACAGCCUGCUCUCAUCUGGGCUCUGGUGGUCAAAGCCAGACUGGCUAGGCCUUGGGAUCCAAGGAGACCGGAGGUUGGAAAAAGAGGUUCUUCCCCAUUGGGUACUGGGCAGUCUCAGCCCCAGAGCCUGCAAGGGGACUUAGAGCAGCAUGGCCUGACUCUGCCCUUUGAAUAGCCCCAGGACAUGUUGGUUUUUAGAGACAGGAUUGGAGUUACCAGGUGCCCCGAGGAGAGGGAAUGUGAGGGUGCUGGUCAAGUCCUUCAGUGUCACGUGGAUGGAUGGCAGUGUGGGGGAGCUCUACCUACAGAAUCUUAGCUCCCAUGAUUCUCUGGUGCCCUCAGCCCUGCUCGGGUGGCUACAGGGCCCUCACAUGAUUCCUACUUCCUGUUCUGAGUCUGGGGCACCCCACCUUUCUCCACUGCCACAUCUCUCUAGCCCUUAUCUCAUGGAACAUGAGGCCAGGCGAGUGGAGCAGAGAGUCUGGAAGCCUUUGAGGUUGGGGGAAGUAUGGAUCGCCUGGAUUUCAGGGCUGUUCCUAGAGAGGAGUUUACAUCGUAGGAUAGGGCACAUGGCCAGUUUUAUGUUCCCUCUUCUCUGCCAAGGGGGCGCUGCACCUCUUCUUAAGCCAUGAGCUGGCUCAGGCCCCUCCCCCAGAGCUUUUUCAGAGUAUUUAUUUAUUUAUUUCAUGGUUCCUGGGAGCAUGCAGCACAGGGUGGGAUGAAAACGAUGAGGGGCUUCUGCCUGCGACCCUUCUGUAGCCAUGGACCGCCCUUGGGGCAGAUCUUCAGGAACUUGCAUCAGUAGCAGCGGAGCUGUUUCUACCCAAGCAUGGACUUGGCGCGCACACUUGAGCCGCAUGAGUGACUCUCUGCUGAUGGGCCCCACACAGAACAGUGAGGGUUUGGCAGUGGGGACCAAGCAGGUGAGGUGUACCCCUUUGUCCUGGUGAGAGAAGGUCACCUCUGUGUAUUUAUACUGUAGAGCUGUAGAAAGGAACUCUGUGGAGAAUUGUCAAUAAAAGGCCCCACGCUUA
rnacentral:lncRNA from 1 species